rnacentral:rRNA from 1 species
CAAUAGCGUAUAUUAAAGUUGUUGCGGUUAAAAAGCUCGUAGUUGGAUCUCGGCAGGCAGGGGGUGGUUCGCUCUUAGCGCUACUGCCCCAUUUGCCUGUGUGAUUGGCGGAGGUUUCGGGGUGCUCUUCGUUGAGCGACCCGGGGCGCCGUCAGGUUUACUUUGAAAAAAUUAGAGUGCUCAAAGCAGGCUUUUCACGCUUGAAUAUUCGUGCAUGGAAUAAUGGAAUAGGAACUCGUUUCUAUUUUGUUGGUUUUCGGAAAUCGAGUUAAUGAUUAAUAGGGACAAUUGGGGGCAUUAGUAUUCAGACGACAGAGGUGAAAUUCUUGGACCGUCUGAAGACUAACUACUGCGAAAGCAUUUGCCAAGAGUGUUUUCAUUAA